AAGAAGUUUCUCUAUUCCAUGUCACAUUGGAAAGAUAAGUAUUGAAAAGGUAUUGUGUGAUCUUGGAGCUAGUGUAAGUUUGAUGCCACUCUCCAUUUGUGAAAAGUUGAAGGUUGGAAAAUUGAAGGCAACAACUAUUUCUUUGUAACUAGCUGAUAGAUCUAUCAAAUAUCCAGUGGGAAGUUUGGAGAAUGUGCCAUUGAAGGUUGGAAAAUUUUUU
rnacentral:misc_RNA from 1 species